rnacentral:piRNA from 1 species
UGGGAAUUGAAUUUUACGACCUUUGCUUGC